CUUCCAGCAAUAAAUGUGCUUACUAGUAGUGGCAAAAGUCGCGAGACAUACCACGUACAUAUAUAUCUCGUGAAACGUUUCCUGGGCGGAAUUCGCAAGGAUAUUUCCGAUCUUUGGUGCACGAUGAACGUCAGGCCAGUCUACGUCCUCGUGCUUUCUGCAGUCCUAGUGCACAUUGCACAAGGUACGACGUGUAGGCCAUCAAUGCCGUGCCAGCGUCCAUGCCAAGUGGGUCUCGAGUGGCCAAGCAUGUGCGGGAUCUGCGUCUGUCCUCCUGCGUGUCGAUUAUGUCCAUCCCAGUGCUACCUCAAAGCGGCACCGGGACUUUGCCCCACCUGCGCAGAAGCCUCGCUCUGCUACGGCUAACAGCACCGGCGCCGGGCUACUGCUGAAAUAAGAAAUGAAUAAUAAAAAAGGAGGUAUUUAAAUUCAAACA